CCCGAGGUACCGGGGACUUAAUUUCCCCCGGACUCCAAACCGUUUAACUCCUCGCAUUGGCGAUAUCUUCAGAAACACGUGGUCUCCAAUGGCGAACUCUAUAUCUUUCCUCUGCUUGUCGGCAUAGCUCUUUUGCCGUGAUUGCGCCGUAGCAAGUCUUUGGCGGGCAAGGCGAACCUUCUCCUCCGCUUCCCGCACUACAUCAGGGCCGAGAGUCGCUCUCUCGCCCACAUCGCUCCAAUGGAUCGGGGAGCGACACUUCCUUCCAUACAGGGCCUCGAAUGGCGCCA
rnacentral:lncRNA from 1 species